AGGACGAACGCUGGCGGCGUGCUUAACACAUGCAAGUCGAGGGCACUAUGCGGGCAACCGCGUGGUGACCGGCGAACGGGUGCGUAACACGUGAGCAACCUGCCCAAGUGUGGGGGAUAGCCGGCCCAACGGCCGGGUAAUACCGCAUACGCUUUUCCGGGGGAGUCCCUGGGAAAGGAAACUUCAGGGGCACUUGGAGGGGCUCGCGGCCUAUCAGCUAGUUGGCGUGGUAACGGCACACCAAGGCAUCGACGGGUAGCUGGUCUGAGAGGAUGGCCAGCCACAUUGGGACUGAGAUACGGCCCAGACUCCUACGGGAGGCAGCAGUGGGGAAUAUUGCGCAAUGGCCGCAAGGCUGACGCAGCGACGCCGCGUGUGGGAGGACGCCGUUUCGGGGUGUAAACCACUGGUUGCCCGGGACGAACCGCUGGUUUCGACCAGCCUGACGGUACCGGUGAGGAAGCACCGGCUAACUCCGUGCCAGCAGCCGC
rnacentral:rRNA from 1 species